UGUUCUCGCUGACCCAAUGUACAUGAACCCUAACAGCACUGAGACAGUUAGGGAAGUAGGUAGGGAAAACAAUUUAGUUCAGUACAUCGGAGAGAUAAGAGACUCUGGAUUGUAGUAUGCUGUGAUGGUUUGCCCUUUUCGAUCAUCAAGAAAUUGAAGGAUGAAGCUUGGGUGUACCAGGCCUGCCACAGCAGUUUCUUAAACCAGAAGUCUUUCGAAACUCACAAAAAUGCCUGUGCAAAUGCAUUUUCAAAAUUAGAAUUUGAUUGGGUAUAUCUAAACAUUGGGUCUGGCCACUAUGAGAUGAAUCUUAGAAAGCCCUUUUUCUGGAGUACUUCUGUGAAAUAAUGGCCUUUGAAACUGAAAUAGCUUAAAAAACUGCCAUCACAAAAGUUGGGCUUUGUUGCUAACUUUCCAUCUUGGCACUCACCGUGAGCUCGUCAUCCCCCAUGUCUCAUCUGAAUCUGCACCCCAUUCCGCCGUAGGUUUCCUAAAUUAUGCAAAGUCUGAAUACACUUCCCCAAAUGUUAGCUAUCUUUUGGACAAGGGAUAAUAUACUUUCGAAUGGCAGUCAAUAGGAAUCACCAUCCACUUCUUUACAGCGCCGAAUACAUGACUAAAGAAUUAUUCCAUGACGGGAACCACCCAAAAUAUUGGGACAUUGAGGUGUUUGACGAAGUCCAAUACAUGCAUAUGCCCACGGAAGUGAAAAAUUUGUUUGACAAGUUUAGCUCCAUCACAACAAAUGGCCAUCCAUCUUUGGGGGAGUGUUUUGACUUCGUUUCAGAAGAAAAAAACGGAUGUGUUAAGGAUCUUAUUCCAAAGGGCAUGCCAACUGAUGACAUUUGGCCAACGGCAUGUCUCAAUGAGGCUCUACUGACCGACAUUUGCAACAAGACGCUGGCGGAGCUGGGCAUGUCCAAAACUGGCCCUCGGCUGAGACCGCUCAACUUUGAGAACGCCAUUGCUUCUUGGCGUCUACGUCUCCGACAAAGCCAGUAUAUUGAGGGCACUGAGGUGCAUACAAGCAUAACCGGCUGUGCACUCGAUCCCUACUUGGUCGACGUCAUUCAACAAGCAAACUGAGGCGGCAGUAUUACAUUUAGGUUAAGGUAUUGGGGGAAUAUGAAGACAUACUGCCCCAGCUCAGCCAGCCAGUUUUUAUCACUGGCGAUGAGAGGAUUCUGCACACCGGGCCAGAAUCAUUGACAGUUCGGGAUUUGCAGCGAGAAAUCAAACAAUUGAUGCCUCGUCUGACCCAGUCACAUCGUGGGGCCUUUUACCAGAGACUUAAGGCUAGGGGACAGAAGAAGGAGACAUAUCUCACUAUUUACAGUGAGAUACAUGCCCUACUGGACGACUAACAUCAUACAAAACUUUAUUCUUUUUUCCAGCUGCAUGUAAUGUAAUUAUAUGGUCAAUAAAGCUUCGUUUUCAUAUUCAAGAUGUCUGUCUAUUUGUUCAUAUCAAUAACAUGUACAUAUGUAUGUAUUAGUAUAUUGUACAUUAACGUUUUAAAUCACCUUGGUCACGCCCGGAUUCCUCACAUGUAAAGAUCCCAUAUCCCCUGAUUGCGCUCAAACAUUCGCAUUAAUAGCUCAAAACAUUUUAAAAAGAAAUUUGGUUUCUUUGAAUCUCGGACCGGGAUCCCCAUUGAAUGUAUGGGAAAUCCUGUACGAAAGCGGUCGGGUGCAUCGCGCUCAGGGACCCUGAUCUGUCGAUAUUCGUACAUUUCGAAUUGAUAAAGCUCGAUAAUAUAAUGUCUUACAUGAUAUUUCACAUAUAGAAUAUAACAUAUCCUAUUCAUAAAAUUACAUGGAAUAAUAAGAUAUAAAUAAUGCUGGAUUUCACAUCCCUUCACAACCUCCUUAUUCCUUUGUAUUAUUACACUUUUAGAUAAUGGACAGUGAACACACUCGUGUGAAGCCGGGUGUGAAAGUAGUUACCGAAGAUGCCAGGCGGAUGGAGAAGAAUGCUCAGAACGCCCUCAAACAGAGGAAAUGGAGGACGAUGAAGGCCAUGGUCCGUGCCGCGGAAAAGCUUCAGAAAGAGGUCCCCGAAAUGGAGUUCAUCGUUGUUCUCUCGUAUCCAGGUAGUAUGAAGUUUGCCGGCUCGGGAGCAAUGCUCCAUUGCUUCAAGAAAGGAGAGCCCUUGACAGUUGGUAAGCCAGCCGGUAUCAAUUACACCGCAGACACCCAAAGUGAAGUUGUAGAUUUUCUAUCAACACCAACCUUCGUGGAAGUGGCCACCCCAGAGUGUCUUGGGACAGGGGGACAGAGGGACAGCUAAAGGAGAUGUACAACAACGUAAGACGACAGUAAGUUAAAGAUUCCAGUUACAACAGUACUUCAAGACAUGCACGCAAUGUCUGACCCUUUUCCCCACGUUGAAGCAUAUUGAAGAAAGCUAAUCAUGACGUCGUGUCGUAUGUACAUGUCCGGUUUUCGAUCAGAGCUUUCGACAUCAUACAUAUGUACUGUAUAUUCUCUCGAAAUUACGACAUGUGCUUUGCAUUUCUAUAGGCCAACUAAAGGUAUUUGAACAUUUUUACUUUCAUAUUAAUACCUGAUGUACAACAAGGCCCCAACUGGACGUCGCUAAUAACCCUGAACCAGCAGCGAGGGAGCCGAAAAGAGUCCGAAAAGCUCACGAUAUCGUCACACCAGCCGGGAACAUCAGCGGCAUAGAACCACUACCCACCAGGACUACCAGAAGAAGAGCCGCUGCUCGGGACAUCACAGCGGAAGUCCAAGCAUCACCCACCAGGACUACCAGGAGAGCCGCUGCUCGGGACGUCCAAGCAUCGCAAACCCAGGAUAAUUCUGGCCGAGGGCUGUCUGGAUCCAUGAGUGUCGCCAGCAUACGACCGGGACAUUCCUGUAUGUCUCCGUACCGACUCAGUCAAACAGAGCCGUGCCGUUUGUCGCGGAGGUUACUUCAGAGAACCCACUCGGGGUGAAGUGCCUCCAGCCCAACAAGACAAAAGGAUCCUGGAGGUUCCCAGAGCAGGACGACAGGGACACAAUCAACAGUGAAGACAUAAUCAAGGUUUUGGCGGCACCAGAAACAAGGAUUUCUGGUUCCCGCUUUUAUGCUGAAUUUAGGGACUUCAUGUAGAUUUUAUGUAUAUAUGUUGUAG
rnacentral:lncRNA from 1 species